rnacentral:rRNA from 1 species
UUAUGCUGAUAAGAGCGUAUGGUGGAUGCCUUGGCACUAAGAGCCGAUGAAAGACGUGAUAAGCUGCGAAAAGCUUCGGGGGGGAGGAGCAAAUAUCCUUUGAUCCGGAGAUUUCUGAAUGGGGGAAACCUACUUGAGCAAACCUCAAGUAUCCUUAAGCCAAUACAUAACUUAAGGAAGGGAACCCGGUGAACUGAAACAUCUAAGUAGCCGGAGGAAGAGAAAACAACAUGUGAUUCUGUGAGUAGCGGCGAGCGAAAACGGAAGAGCCCAAACCAGCGUGCGUGCAUGCUGGGGUUCGGACCGCGGAAUUGAUUCAACGAGUUUAGCAGAACGGUUUUGGGAAAGCCGGCCAGAGAGGGUGAAAGCCCCCCCGUAAGCGAAAGACGAGUUGACAUGGCGGGAUCCAGAGUACCACGAGACACGUGGAACCUUGUGGGAAGAUGCGGGGGGGACCACCCCGUAAGGCUAAAUACUACUUAGUGACCGAUAGCGCAUAGUACUGUGAAGGAAAGGUGAAAAGGACCCGGGAGGGGGGGAGUGAAAAAGAACCUGAAACCAUAUGUUUACAAGCUGUGGAAGAGCUUUAUAUGCUCAACCGCGUACUUUUUGUAGAACGGUCCGGCGAGUUACGCUGGCUGGCGAGGUUAAGGACUAAAGGUCCGGAGCCGAAGGGAAACCAAGUCUGAAUAGGGCGCAUAGUCAGUCGGAGUAGACCCGAAACCGGGUGAUCUAUCCAUGUCCAGGUUGAAGUUGCCGUAAAAGGCAAUGGAGGACCGAACCCACAUCCGUUGAAAAGGGUGGGGAUGAGGUGUGGAUAGGGGAGAAAUUCCAAUCGAACCCGGAGAUAGCUGGUUCUCCUCGAAAUAGCUUUAGGGCUAGCCUCAUACGAGUCUUGCGGAGGUAGAGCACUGAAUUCCUAAGGGGGGCGUCAAAGCUUACUAAGGGAUAUCAAACUCCGAAUGCCGUGUAGAUGAUGUAUGGGAGUCAGACGAUCCGAGAUAAGUUGGGUGGUCAAAAGGGAAAGAGCCCAGACCAACAGCUAAGGCCCCCCCAAAAUGUGUGUUAAGUGGAAAAGGAUGUGGGAUUUCGAAGACAACUAGGAUGUUGGCUCAGAAGCAGCCAUUCAUUCAAAGAGUGCGUAAUAGCUCACUAGUCGAGAGGUCCUGCGCCGAAAAUGUCCGGGGGGCUAAAACACACUGCCGAAGCUUUGGAAUUGAGAAUUCAAUUGGUAGAGGAGCAUUCUUAAAGGGACGAAGCAGUACCGAAAGGAGCUGUGGACUUUUAAGAAGAGAGAAUGCCGGAAUGAGUAGCGAGAGGAAGGUGGGAAUCCUUCCGGCCGAAUAUCUAAGGUUUCCAGAGUAAAGCUGAUCUGCUCUGGGUAAGUCGGGGCCUAAGGCGAGGUCGAAAGACGUAGUCGAUGGAUAACAGGUUGAAAUUCCUGUACUAUCCUGUAACAGAACUGUGGGGACACAGGCAGAGAGCGUGAGCCGGGAAUGGAAAGACCGGUACAAGCGAGGUAGGAGAAGAGUUGGCAAAUCCGCUCUUUAAUCUGAAGACGUGAUGUGGACUGAAAAUAAGUAGGGAAGCACGUGAGCUGACUGUCAAGAAAAGCCGCUAUUGUUUGCAGGAUACCCGUACCGUAAACCGACACAGGUGGAUGAGGAGAGAAUCCUAAGGCCGACGGGAGAAGCAUUGUUAAGGAACUCGGCAAAAUGACUCCGUAACUUCGGGAGAAGGAGUGCCAGUAAGAUGGCCGCAGAGAAUUGGCCCAAGCAACUGUUUAGCAAAAACACAGGUCUAUGCAAAACCGAAAGGUGAGGUAUAUGGGCUGACGCCUGCCCGGUGCUGGAAGGUUAAGGGGGGGAGAGGUUAGCGCAAGCGAAGCUUUGAACUUAAGCCCCCCCAGUAAACGGCGGCCGUAACUAUAACGGUCCUAAGGUAGCGAAAUUCCUUGUCGGGUAAGUUCCGACCCGCACGAAAGGCGUAAUGAUUUGGCACUGUCUCAACAAUGCACCCGGUGAAAUUGAAAUACCAGUGAAGAUGCUGGUUACCUGCGCCAGGACGGAAAGACCCCCAUGGAGCUUUACUCCAGCUUGAUACUGGGAUUCGGUAUUGCAUGUACAGGAUAGGUGGGAGGCUAGGAAAUGGUAACGCCAGUUGCCAUGGAGCCAAUGUUGGGAUACCACCCUUGCAGUACUGGGUUUCUAACCAGCAGCCGUGAUCCGGCUGGGGGGACAAUGUCAGGUGGGGGGGAGUUUGACUGGGGGGGCGGUCGCCUCCGAAAGGGUAUCGGAGGCGCUCAAAGGUUCCCUCAGAAUGGUUGGAAACCAUUCGAAGAGUGCAAAGGCAGAAGGGAGCUUGACUGCGACACCGACGGGUGGAGCAGGUACGAAAGUAGGACUUAGUGAUCCGGUGGUAUAAAGUGGGAUUGCCAUCGCUCAACGGAUAAAAGCUACCCUGGGGAUAACAGGCUUAUCACUCCCAAGAGUUCACAUCGACGGAGUGGUUUGGCACCUCGAUGUCGGCUCAUCGCAUCCUGGGGCUGAAGUAGGUCCCAAGGGUUGGGCUGUUCGCCCAUUAAAGCGGUACGCGAGCUGGGUUCAGAACGUCGUGAGACAGUUCGGUCCCUAUCCGGCGUGGGCGUAAGAUAUUUGAGAGGAGCUGUCCUUAGUACGAGAGGACCGGGAUGGACUGGCCGCUGGUGUAUCUGUUGUCUUACCAAAGGCAUAGCAGAGUAGCCAAGCCGGGAAGGGAUAAACGCUGAAGGCAUCUAAGCGUGAAGCCCCCCCUCAAGAUGAGAUAUCUCAUAACGUCAAGUUAGUAAGACCCCCCCUUGAAGACGACGAGGUAGAUAGGGCAGAGGUGGAAGUGUGGUAACACAUGGAGCUGACUGUUACUAAUAGGUCGAGGGCAUAACCAA